CCUUGGAGUAAAGUAGCAGCACAUAAUGGUUUGUGGAUUUUGAAAAGGUGCAGGCCAUAUUGUGCUGCCUCAAAAAUACAAGGAUCUGAUCUUCUGAAGAAAAUAUAUUUCUUUUUAUUCAUAGCUCUUAUGAUAGCAAUGUCAGCAGUGCCUUAGCAGCACGUAAAUAUUGGCGUUAAGAUUCUAAAAUUAUCUCCAGUAUUAACUGUGCUGCUGAAGUAAGGUUGAC
rnacentral:lncRNA from 1 species